GACGUAGGGCGCAAGCGUUGUCCGGAUUUAUUGGGCGUAAAGAGCUCGUAGGCGGCCUGUCGCGUCGACCGUGAAAACCCGCAGCUCAACUGCGGGCUUGCGGUCGAUACGGGCAGGCUGGAGUUCGGUAGGGGGAGACUGGAAUUCCUGGUGUAGCGGUGAAAUGCGCAGAUAUCAGGAGGAACACCGGUGGCGAAGGCGGGUCUCUGGGCCGAUACUGACGCUGAGGAGCGAAAGCGUGGGGAGCGAACAGG
rnacentral:rRNA from 1 species